rnacentral:tRNA from 1 species
GGAGAGGUGCCGGAGCGGUUGAACGGGGCGGUCUCGAAAACCGUUGUACCCUCUGGGUACCGUGGGUUCGAAUCCCACCCUCUCCG